CUUCUCGUGGUGUAGUGGUAACGCGCCUGUUUGGUGUGCAGAAAUCGUAAGUUCGAGUCUCUCCGAGAGAC
rnacentral:tRNA from 1 species